GGGCCGGCUGUGUUGCGGCUCGCUGCCAUUGUGCGCGUUACCUUCUAGCGUUGCUUCGGCGGGUGGCUUUGGCCUACUUCGUGUUCCCUGGGCGGGUUCCCCCGCCACUGCGAGAACAUAAACCUUUUGGAAUUGCUAUCGCCGCCCUGAGUCUUUAGUAAUUACAACUUUCAACUUUGAUCUCUUGUCUCUGGGUUCUGGCAUCAACGCAACGCGCAGCGAUAAUUAGAGUGAGUUGUGAAUUGAAUGAAUCAUCGAAUCUUUGAACCCUUAUUGCGCCCUUGGGUAUUCCAGGAGGCAUGCCUGUUCGACCGUCAAUUGUACCCUUCGCUUUGCUUGGUGUUGGUCGUCUUGUCUCUAGCUGUGCUGGACACUCCCCUUAAUGUAGUUGGCGGCCUCCCUACUGGUUUCAGAGCGCAGCACAAGUCGCACUCUCUAUCAGCAGGGGUCUACCAUCCGUUAAACCUUUUUUUCUACUUUUGACCUCGGAUCAGGCAGGGAUAACCACUGACCUAAAUCAUACAUAGGGUGGG
rnacentral:rRNA from 1 species